UACCCUGACAUCAUCUCCUAUUUUGGGCUGGAUCGUGUCUGAAGGACAUUGGAAAGAAGCAUAUUAUGUCUCUCUAGCAUUAAGAAGCCUGACUCCAUUUGCUUCUUAGCAGACAUUCCCAGGUAUAUCUUAACUUGUAAUGCAUACCUUUCCCUAUUUAGGUAGGUCAAGCCUUUUUCUUCAAAAAGGAAGUUAAUUAGAAAAGGCUUGACCUACCUAAAUAGGGAAAGUUCUUUCCUGCCCCUAAAGUAUUAGCCAAUCAGCUCUAGUUUAGACUAUGAAGUCUGGCGCCAGCCAAUAGAUGCAGGAUACAGCAAUAGGAACCCAGCUGUAUAAAGGAUAAAUAUUUCUGCCUUUCCUUUGCUCAUUGCACUCCCAUGGCAAGCCUGCUGUCGAAUAGUGCCCUUUCUGCAGAAAGUAAAUUUGCCUUGCUGAGAGAACUUAGGGUCUGUGUGCUAAUUCUUCUUGGCAACACCAGAGAAUAGGCAUUUACUUCCAACAGUGUCCCCCCAGAAGAUAUAUUGAAGUCCUACUCCUAACUCCUGGUACCUGUGAAUGUGACCUCAUUUGGAAACAGGGUCUCUCCAGAAUUAAUCAAAUUAAGAUGAGAUCAUCCUAGAGUAGAGUGGGCCCUAAUCCAAUAUGACUGUUGUCCUUAUCAAAAAACGAGGAGACCCAGAGACAGACACCCAGAGAGGAGAAGGCCAUGUGAAGAUGGAGGCAGAGAUGGCAGCAAUGCAUCUACAAGCCAAGGAUUGCUGGAACGACCAGGAGCUAGAGGAGAGGCAUGGCACAGACCUUCUUCCAGAACCUUCAGAAAGAACAUAUCCCUGCUGACCUUGGUUUCCAACUUCCAGUUCUCAUCAGAACGCUGACAGAAUGAACGUCUGCUGUUCUAGACCACCCAGUUGGUGUUAAAUUGUUAUGGCAGCCACAGAAAACCGGUAUCCUCCCAAAUGAACUACUUGCAACUGAAUCCUGGGUUCAGAAUCUGCAUCUUUGCAACAACACAAAUGGGACUGGAGGUCAUUAUGGGGCCAAAAACUGGCUGGGGAGCUGGGCGAUGGGCUCGGAGGCAGGAGAGAGAGCAGUACCAGAGAUUCGCUCUUGUUACCCAGGCUGGAGUGCAAUGGUGCGAUCUCGGCUCACCGCAACCUCUGCCUCCUGGGUUCAGGCAAUUCUCCUGCCUCAGCCUCCUGAGUAGCUGGGAUCACAGUCAUUCGACAUCCAGCAACGAUUUGUUAAUGGUCUACCCGGUGCCUGGCACUGCAUUGGGCGCCAGAAUUACAACAGGAACGGAGAUGAAGUUUCUGGCCUCCUGAAUUUACAUUCUCAUCACGGGAGAGCCACAUCGCGCCUCAUCACUUGUAGCAAGCUUCCGUCAGAUGAUGGAGAACUCCAGUACUUGGCUUUGAACCUGCCUGCUUCUAACUGCUGGAGAAAGAAACCUCAGCCAGCUGUGGAGAAAGGGGCCGUCACCUCCCGCAGCUGCAGCAAAGCAGGUGUUAUUCUCCAUCAUAAAGCAUCCUGGCCAAGAAAGGGAUCUUCAGAAGUUGUUGCUAUGCCCUGGGAAAGCUACCUUCAACCUCCAAAAUGUCUGUCAUCCUGAUCGGGUUUCUUACUCAAGAAGUUGUGGCCCUGGGUAACGCUCUAUGUGUCAAAACCUUUGUUUUCUAAAUUGUCUAUCUGGCUGGCUUCCCAUCCGUCUUCUAGAGUGACCUUUCUCAAUUCCAAGUCCGGUUAAGGCAGAAGAGCUUCAGCAGUGAGCCCUUCUUCUCCCUGUUCACUUAAAAAUAAAAAUCACAAUAUACACGUUUAGAAAAAGAGA
rnacentral:lncRNA from 13 species